CACGGUUCUUGUGCACCUAUGACCAGUAGCGUCCCCGCGGAGAACGAGUAAAAUAUUGAAGAGUUUAAUUUCCCAGCGUUUAAGGAAUGUUUUAUCGGUGACUAAACUAUCUUCUUUCCUUUUGCUAUUUUUGUAGAUUUGACUCAUCAAUGUUUUUUAAGAGUAACACGACAGGAGUCAUAUUUGGAGCAGGAACAGCUGUACCUUCAGGAGCACCUGAGUACAUACCUGAUGUGUUACUGGGGAUUGCGGGGUCUCCGUGACCCUGUGGUCUAAGUAGUCCGACUGAGAUUCCGAGUUCAACCCC
rnacentral:lncRNA from 1 species